rnacentral:rRNA from 1 species
GUCGACGGCCAUGCCACCCUGAACAUGCCCAAUCUCUUCUGACCUUGGAAGCUAAGCAGGGUCAGGCCUGGUUAGUACUUGGAUGGUAGACUACCUUGGAAUACCAGGUGCUGUAGGCG